rnacentral:ncRNA from 1 species
GUAACUCUGGAGAAUCCCAAUCUCGGGUGCCGAAGGUGUAACACACGUUAUGUUCGUGUGAAUCUCUCAGGCAAAAGGACAGAGAAA